UACGGGGGGGGCAAGCGUUGUUCGGAAUUACUGGGCGUAAAGGGUUCGUAGGUGGCCUACUAAGUCAGACGUGAAAUCCCUCAGCUUAACUGGGGAACUGCGUCUGAUACUGGGGGGCUUGAGUGCAGGAGAGGAACGCGGAAUUCCAGGUGUAGCGGUGAAAUGCGUAGAUAUCUGGAGGAACACCGGUGGCGAAGGCGGCGUUCUGGACUGCAACUGACACUGAGGAACGAAAGCCAGGGGAGCAAACGGG
rnacentral:rRNA from 1 species